rfam:Tobacco bushy top virus, complete genome.
AUUGAGUCAGCCAGGCAUAUGGUUGCAAGCGCUGGGGACUUAGUCCAUAAAACCA